rnacentral:misc_RNA from 1 species
GUAGGUGAACCUGCGGAAGGAUCAUUAACACGUCCUAGCACGUUUUAACAAACUCCACACCACAUUCUGUGAACCAUUUUUUAAUUAUUUUUUAAUAAAACCCCUUUUUUUGACUCUAACCUCAACCCCUAGUUGACUGAUCAAAAAAACAAAAUGUGCAUCAUGUUUAUUCAUGUGUAUCAGGUUGUGAGAAUAAAUCUUGUUUUCCUUGAUUUAUUUUUUAUAUGAAAAUUAUAAGCACAACUCUUAG